CAGCAGCCGCGGGAAUACGUAGGGUGCAAGCGUUAAUCGGAAUUACUGGGCGUAAAGCGUGCGCAGGCGGUUCUAUAAGACAGAUGUGAAAUCCCCGGGCUCAACCUGGGAACUGCAUUUGUGACUGUAGAGCUGGAGUGCGGCAGAGGGGGAUGGAAUUCCGCGUGUAGCAGUGAAGUGCGUAGAUAUGCGGAGGAACACCGAUGGCGAAGGCAAUCCCCUGGGCCUGCACUGACGCUCAUGCACGAAAGCGUGGGGAGCAAACAGGAUUAGAUACCCGAGUAGUCCCUGUCUCUUAUAA
rnacentral:rRNA from 1 species